rnacentral:rRNA from 1 species
UACGUAGGUGGCAAGCGUUGUCCGGAUUUACUGGGCGUAAAGGGCGUGCAGGCGGUCUGUUAAGUGCAGGGUGAAAGCUCCCGGCUCAACUGGGAGAGGUCCUUGCAUACUGGCGGACUUGAGGGGGGUAGAGGAAAGUGGAAUUCCCGGUGUAGUGGUGAUAUGCGUAGAUAUCGGGAGGAACACCUGUGGCGAAGGCGGCGUUU